AGAGUUUGAUCAUGGCUCAGGACGAACGCUGGCGGCGUGCUUAAUACAUGCAAGUCGAGCGAGGUUACUGCGACAGAUCCCUUCGGGGUGAAGUUGCUUUAGCCUAGCGGCGGACGGGUGAGUAACGCGUGGGUAACCUACCCUAAAGUUCGGGAUAACAGCGGGAAACCGCUGCUAAUACCGGAUGCCUUUACCGUGUGGCAUCACAAGGUAAAGAAAGGUAACGCUUUAGGAUGGGCCCGCGUCCCAUUAGCUAGUUGGUGAGGUAACAGCUCACCAAGGCGACGAUGGGUAGCCGGCCUGAGAGGGUGGACGGCCACACUGGGACUGAGACACGGCCCAGACUCCUACGGGAGGCAGCAGUAGGGAAUAUUGCGCAAUGGACGGAAGUCUGACGCAGCGACGCCGCGUGAGCGAUGAAGGCCUUCGGGUCGUAAAGCUCUGUCCUUGGGGAAGAAGGUCUUCGGACUUGACGGUACCCAAGAAGAAAGCCCCGGCUAACUACGUGCCAGCAGCCGCGGUAAUACGUAGGGGGCGGGCGUUGUCCGGAAUUACUGGGCGUAAAGGGUGCGUAGGCGGUCCUUUAAGUCAGAUGUGAAAGCCCGCAGCUUAACUGCGGAAUUGCAUUUGAAACUGGAGGGCUUGAGUGUCGGAGAGGGUAGUGGAAUUCCCAGUGUAGCGGUGAAAUGCGUAGAUAUUGGGAGGAACACCAGUGGCGAAGGCGACUGCCUGGACGAUAACUGACGCUGAGGCACGAAAGCUAGGGGAGCAAACAGGAUUAGAUACCCUGGUAGUCCUAGCCGUAAACGAUGGGUACUAGGUGUAGGUGGUUUCGAUACCAUCUGUGCCGUAGUUAACGCAUUAAGUACCCCGCCUGGGGAGUACGUGCGCAAGCAUGAAACUCAAAUGAAUUGACGG
rnacentral:rRNA from 1 species